UACGAAGGGUGCAAGCGUUAAUCGGAAUUACUGGGCGUAAAGGGUGCGUAGGCGGUUUGUUAAGUCUGCUGUGAAAUCCCCGAGCUCAACUUGGGAAUUGCAGUGGAUACUGGCAGGCUGGAGUAUGGUAGAGGAAGGUGGAAUUCCCGGUGUAGCAGUGAAAUGCGUAGAGAUCGGGAGGAACACCAGUGGCGAAGGCGGCCUUCUGGACCAAUACUGACGCUCAUGCACGAAAGCGUGGGGAGCAAACAGG
rnacentral:rRNA from 1 species